ACCAGCAGCCAUAUUGCCCUACAACUCACAACUGGCUACCCACUGAAGCUAAGCAGGUAGGAACCUGGUCAGUACCCAGAUGGGAGACCUCCUGGGAAAAACCAAGGUUUCUGCUGGAA
rnacentral:rRNA from 1 species